AUGCAAAAUAAGUUUGGAAAUGAGGAAAGAUCCUAAGGUUGGAGGAAAUCGCGGAGGAGACUUUUAAAGUUACUCGGAACCGAUUCCCAAAACUCACUGAGGUAAAUGAAAGAUUUUGAGGAUGAAGCUCAAUUAGGAAGCUUUUGUGUUUAAUUACUCGCUUGUCUGUAUUGCUAAGUGACGUUGUAGUUGAUUUAUUAGUAUUAUGGGAUGACUGUAAAUCCGUUUAGAUCAAUACGGAUAUGUGUAGUUAUGGGCUU